rnacentral:rRNA from 1 species
UACGUAGGGUGCGAGCGUUGUCCGGAAUUAUUGGGCGUAAAGAGCUCGUAGGUGGCUUGUCGCGUCUGCCGUGAAAGCCCGUGGCUUAACUACGGGUCUGCGGUGGAUACGGGCAGGCUAGAGGCUGGUAGGGGCAAGCGGAAUUCCUGGUGUAGCGGUGAAAUGCGCAGAUAUCAGGAGGAACACCGGUGGCGAAGGCGGCUUGCUGGGCCAGUUCUGACGCUGAGGUGCGAAAGCGUGGGGAGCAAACAGG